UACGUAGGUGGCAAGCGUUAUCCGGAUUUAUUGGGUGUAAAGGGCGUGUAGGCGGGAGCGCAAGUCAGAUGUGAAACCUCGGGGCUCAACCCCGGGCAUGCAUUGGAAACUGGCGGGCUGGAGUGCCGGAGAGGUAAGCGGAAUUCCUAGUGUAGCGGUGAAAUGCGUAGAUAUUAGGAGGAACACCAGUGGCGAAGGCGGCUUACUGGACGGCAACUGACGCUGAGGCUCGAAAGCGUGGGGAGCAAACAGG
rnacentral:rRNA from 1 species